CUCUAUUUAAAAGAACCCACCGACUGGGUAUAGCUCAUUGUCUUUGCAUCGUCACAMCUGAUCAACUGCUGAAAUUGACUGACUCAAAGAACUGACCACCAAGAUGAUGAUGAAGACUGUAAUCUUCCUGGGCUGCCUCCUGGGCCUGUCAUUGGCUCUUCCUGCUGAUGUGGAUCACUUGAGAGUUGCACGUUCCAGCUCUGACUCCAACUCUAACUCAAACUCCAAGGAGGCUGGUGGUUCCUUUCUGCCCUCCCUGCCAAAGUUGAAUUCAAAUCAGCUAAUUCAACUUCUACUUAAACUGUUUGCUGCCUCUGCAUCAGCCCCUGCCCCAGCUCCUGCUCCUGCCCCCAGCCCCUGCCCCAGCCCCUGCUCCUGCCC